GACUACCUGGUCUUCUCGAAUCCUUAGGACUUUAAUUUGAUCAUGGCUCAGAGCCAAGGCGUAGUAGGCCUAACACAUGCAAGUCGAACGGCAGCACAGGAGAGCUUGCUCUCUGGGUGGCGAGUGGCGGACGGGUGAGGAAUACAUCGGAAUCUACUCUGUCGUGGGGGAUAACGUAGGGAAACUUACGCUAAUACCGCAUACGACCUACGGGUGAAAGCAGGGGAUCUUCGGACCUUGCGCGAUUGAAUGAGCCGAUGUCGGAUUAGCUAGUUGGCGGGGUAAAGGCCCACCAAGGCGACGAUCCGUAGCUGGUCUGAGAGGAUGAUCAGCCACACUGGAACUGAGACACGGUCCAGACUCCUACGGGAGGCAGCAGUGGGGAAUAUUGGACAAUGGGCGCAAGCCUGAUCCAGCCAUACCGCGUGGGUGAAGAAGGCCUUCGGGUUGUAAAGCCCCUUUUGUUGGGGAAAGAAAUCCAGCCGGCUAAUACCCCGGUUUGGGAUGACGGUACCCAAAGAAAUAAGCACCCGGCUAACUUCGUGCCCAGCAGGCCGCGGUUAAUUCGGAAAGGGUGCAGGCGUUACUCGGAAUUUACUGGGCGUAAAAGCGUGACGUAGUGGUAUUUAAGUCCCCUUUUANAGCCCUUGGCUNACACCUGGGGAACUUGCGUGGAUNCUGGAUGACUGCAAUUNUGGUNACGGGUAGCCGGAAUCNGGUUNNGCAGUGAAUUNUUUAGUUCGAGACUCCUGGGAGCGUCCUGACCAUUGCNUGGCAGGCGGGGCNCUGUUUUCGUUUCCGCCUGAAGGCGACNUUUNGGCAUGCCGUUGGACCCUUUCUUGU
rnacentral:rRNA from 1 species